rnacentral:rRNA from 1 species
CAGUAGCCGCGGUAAUACGAAGGGGGCUAGCGUUGUUCGGAAUUACUGGGCGUAAAGGGCGCGUAGGCGGCCAUUCAAGUUAGAUGUGAAAGCCCUGGGCUCAACCUAGGAAUUGCAUUUGAUACUGUUUGGCUUGAGUUUGGGAGAGGUGAGUGGAAUUCCCAGUGUAGAGGUGAAAUUCGUAGAUAUUGGGAAGAACACCAGUGGCGAAGGCGGCUCACUGGACCGACACUGACGCUGAGGCGCGAAAGCGUGGGGAGCAAACAGGAUUAGAUACCCCAGUAGUCCCUGUCUCUUAUAC